rnacentral:rRNA from 1 species
UGGGGAAUAUUGCACAAUGGGCGAAAGCCUGAUGCAGCGACGCCGCGUGAGCGAAGAAGUAUUUCGGUAUGUAAAGCUCUAUCAGCAGGGAAGAUAAUGACGGUACCUGACUAAGAAGCACCGGCUAAAUACGUGCCAGCAGCCGCGGUAAUACGUAUGGUGCAAGCGUUAUCCGGAUUUACUGGGUGUAAAGGGCGUGUAGGCGGGCGAUCAAGUUGGAAGUGAAAUCCAUGGGCUCAACCCAUGAACUGCUUUCAAAACUGGUCGUCUUGAGUAGUGCAGAGGUAGGCGGAAUUCCCGGUGUAGCGGUGGAAUGCGUAGAUAUCGGGAGGAACACCAGUGGCGAAGGCGGCCUACUGGGCACCAACUGACGCUGAGGCUCGAAAGUGUGGGUAGCAAACAGGAUUAGAUACCCUGGUAGUCCACACCGUAAACGAUGAUUACUAGGUGUUGGGAGAUUGACCCUCUCAGUGCCGCAGUUAACACAAUAAGUAAUCCACCUGGGGAGUACGACCGCAAGGUUGAAACUCAAAGGAAUUGACGGGGGCCCGCACAAGCAGUGGAGUAUGUGGUUUAAUUCGACGCAACGCGAAGAACCUUACCAAGUCUUGACAUCCCUUGACAGACAUAGAAAUAUGUAAUCUCUUCGGAGCAAGGAGACAGGUGGUGCAUGGUUGUCGUCAGCUCGUGUCGUGAGAUGUUGGGUUAAGUCCCGCAACGAGCGCAACCCUUAUGGUCAGUUACUACGCAAGAGGACUCUGGCCAGACUGCCGUUGACAAAACGGAGGAAGGUGGGGAUGACGUCAAAUCAUCAUGCCCUUUAUGACUUGGGCUACACACGUACUACAAUGGCGUUAAACAAAGAGAAGCAAGACCGCGAGGUGGAGCAAAACUCAGAAACAACGUCCCAGUUCGGACUGCAGGCUGCAACUCGCCUGCACGAAGUCGGAAUUGCUAGUAAUCGUGGAUCAGCAUGCCACGGUGAAUACGUUCCC